AAAUUGAAGAGUUUGAUCAUGGCUCAGAUUGAACGCUGGCGGCAGGCCUAACACAUGCAAGUCGAACGGUAGCACAGAGAGCUUGCUCUCGGGUGACGAGUGGCGGACGGGUGAGUAAUGUCUGGGAAACUGCCUGAUGGAGGGGGAUAACUACUGGAAACGGUGGCUAAUACCGCAUAAUGUCGCAAGACCAAAGAGGGGGACCUUCGG
rnacentral:rRNA from 1 species